rnacentral:rRNA from 1 species
GAUGAACGCUGACAGAAUGCUUAACACAUGCCAGUCUUUGGCGAAGCUGUGCUUGCACAGCCUAGCCAAGGCGGACGGGUGAGUAACGCGUAAGGAACUUGCCCUGCAGUCAGGGAUAACAGACGGAAACGACUGAUAAGACCUGGUAAAGUCAGGCGGACUCAUGUCCAGCCUGAUGAAAAGAGAUGCUGCAGGAGAGCCUUGCGUCCUAUUAGCUUGUUGGUGGGGUAACGGCCCACCAAGGCGAUGAUAGGUAGCCGGCCUGAGAGGGUGGACGGCCACAAGGGGACUGAGAUACGGCCCUUACUCCUACGGGAGGCAGCAGUGGGGAAUAUUGGACAAUGGGGGCAACCCUGAUCCAGCAAUUCUGUGUGCACGAUGAAGGUUUUCGGAUUGUAAAGUGCUUUCAGCAGGGAAGAAAAAAUGACGGUACCUGCAGAAGAAGCGACGGCUAAAUACGUG